rnacentral:lncRNA from 1 species
CUCCCCGGGGGAGCUCUCUACUACUCCGCUCGUCCUGGAAACGGUCAACAAAGCCGCGUCGAGGAGAUGGCGCGGGGAGGGUCGGACCGAGUGACCGACUGAGGCGACUGACUUGCACCGUUUUCCUCACGAAAACUCGAGAAAACAAGUUGUGGAACCGAACUCUCUCUCUCUCUCUCUUUGUGGUAAAUGCAGUCCGGAGUAAAGCGACAUGAUGAUGGAGCGCAAAGAGGAGACGGAGCUGGCGGAGAUUGACCAGCGUCUGCAGGAGGAUGGACUCGGACCUGGGGCCUCGCCAGUGGAGCGCCAGCUCCACCUCUGGCGUCUGUUGCAGAGCAGCGAGAGCAGCCUGCAGUCGACCUCUCAGGACCUGCAGGCUCUGCGGAUGCAGCAGGCGGCUGAGAUGAAAGAGGUGGAGAACUACAUGGAACAUAUUCGUGGCUUGCUGGAGGAGCGGGAGUUGCUGAUGGCAGAGUACGAGCACGAGAAUGAACAGCUGCACUCCGAACUGCAGCAGAUGAAGCUCCAGCACGAUGCCCAGUUGAAGGAGGUAGUGGAGAUGCUGGACCAGGAGGGCUUGGCUGAGAUCAGCUACAGCAGCCCCAGUGAGCAGGUGGCAUACCUGCUGGUGGAAAGAUCCACACUCCUGGAGAGGUUGGAGGCCACUGAUCGGAAGCUUGACACCCAGAGCUUGACAGGUCACCCGAGGGAGAUACCACAAGAGGUACCGGAUCCUUGUGACCUCUGUGUGAAUUGCUGGGCCGCACAUGUGUAUUCAGCGCCUAUUCUGCCUCUUUCUCGACUCAGGAGGGUCUGGACCCCAUCGGAAACACCGUGCAGGGGGACGUGCAGCAACAGAAGGAGAGCGAACAGCCUGCCAAGAGUAGUGCAACCAAGGUGA